rnacentral:rRNA from 1 species
UACAGAGGUCUCAAGCGUUGUUCGGAUUCAUUGGGCGUAAAGGGUGCGUAGGCGGCGCGGUAAGUCGGGUGUGAAAUCUCGGAGCCUAACUCCGAAACUGCAUUCGAUACUGCCGUGCUUGAGGACUGGAGAGGAGACUGGAAUUUACGGUGUAGCGGUGAAAUGCGUAGAUAUCGUAAGGAAGACCAGUGGCGAAGGCGGGUCUCUGGGCCGUAACUGACGCUGAGGAGCGAAAGCAUGGGGAGCGAACAGG